UACGUAGGGGUCGAGCGUUGUCCGGACUUACUGGGCGUAAAGGGUGGGUAGGUGGUCGGUGAUGUGCCGUGUGAAAGCCCCGCGUUCAUCGGGGGGAGGUCGCGGUAGACACAGCGACUUGAGGCAUUGAGGGGGCGGUGGAAUUCCCGGUGUAGUGGUGAAAUGCGUAGAUAUCGGGAGGAACACCAGUGGCGCAAGCGGCCGCCUGGCAAUGACCUGACACUGAGCCACGACGGCGUGGGGAGCAAACGGG
rnacentral:rRNA from 1 species